rnacentral:rRNA from 1 species
CCUACGGGAGGCAGCAGUGGGGAAUCUUGGACAAUGGGCGCAAGCCUGAUCCAGCCAUGCCGCGUGAGUGAUGAAGGCCUUAGGGUCGUAAAGCUCUUUCGCCAGGGAUGAUAAUGACAGUACCUGGUAAAGAAACCCCGGCUAACUCCGUGCCAGCAGCCGCGGUAAUACGCAGGGGGGUAGCGUUGUUCGGAAUUACUGGGCGUAAAGCGCGCGUAGGCGGAGUAUUAAGUCAGGGGUGAAAUCCCGGGGCUCAACCCCGGAACUGCCCUUGAUACUGGGUGUCUUGAGUCCGAGAGAGGUGAGUGGAAUUCCGAGUGUAGAGGUGAAAUUCGUAGAUAUUCGGAGGAACACCAGUGGCGAAGGCGGCUCACUGGCUCGAUACUGACGCUGAGGUGCGAAAGUGUGGGGAGCAAACAGGAUUAGAUACCCGGGUAGUCC